CCUAAAGCACAUAGUGCGCAGGGUGCAAUAGGGUCUUAUUGCACAUGAACUUUAUACGGAACAUGACACUGCUGCACUUCAGCGGUGGCUCUUGUCGCGUAGCGUGCGAUUUGAGAGGUGUAUUCGCAAGUAGCCGCUUGUAAUUCAAUCAUUUGAUCAUGUGCGUCCGCAGAAGUUUCUAUUGUCUCGGUAUUCCUCCUCGCCGGCAGUGAAAUUACAUUAUGUUGAAAUCGUGUAUAAACAUACUUCGUUAUAUUGAAGUUCUAAAUACAUGUUUUUUUUAUCGUCAAGAGGUUAUAAAAAGUUAAAUACUUCGUUAUAUUGAGAAUUUCUUUAUAUUGAAGUUCGUUAUAUCGAGGUUCAACUGUAUUGUUAAAACAGGUAUCGUUGUAAGUGGAACAGUUCGACUGUAUUCAGAAAUGCGUCUUAACUUGAAGUGGAUGCUUGAUUUGAACUUAAAUGAUGCAUGUCGUGAAUGUGCCUAGGGAAAUGCCAUGAGUGUCUUGAGCACGUUCUUGCCAGGUGUCAAGCUAAAUCAAGUCAAGCAUGGGCUUCAGUUAAAGAUGCAUUUCUGAAUACAGGGGUUAAUGAUGUCUUCACCCGUUCAAAAUAUAUUGGUCACCUCUACAGGGACAUGUUCCAACUUGUUGAGAGCAGAGUUUUUGUUACAGAGGCCGUGAAUAUGGUUUGCCAUUCUUAGCAUGUAAGAAACUACGGAGCUUGUCGAGACGAGCAACUGCCUGAGUGAGAGUAGCUGCUGCAGUAAAUUCUUUCCUGCCAAUGUCAUUGCAAUAGAAGACUUCAUCCUCUUGCAUCUGUGACAUGAUUUCUACCACACUUUAGAUUUGUGCUUUUGGAUGUUGCCUACUUUCGUACAAUUUAGCAAACUUACACUGCUUUGUGACAGAAAUAUUUCCUAUAAGAGAGGUUCAUUUCUCUUGUGCUUAACCCCAGAAAGCCCAAACACCAUUUCACAUCAAAGAAAAUUCAAUCAGCUUGUUCACAUUUACUUCUGGCUAUGGAAAGUAUAUUGGUACAGUAAAAGCUCGUUAACUCGGAUCUCACGGGACCGGAGAAAAUGUCCGAGUUAACCGAAUUUCAGCACAUGCUUUCUGUACCUGCUUUUUACGUGCUGAAUUAUCCCUUGAUCCAGCGGUUGCAGAGCAGCCGUCGUGUUUGCAGGUAGAAAUACAAGUUCGAUGCACUCCAGCCCUGUCACUCUGGUAUGAGCGCUACAGUUGUCAACUAGAAGUAAAACCUUGCGCUUGUUAGCAGAGAAGCGACGGUCGAGCUGGCGCAGCCAAGCUUGGAAAAUAUCCGAGGUCAUCCAGGCCUUUCUAUUGGCGUGAUAUUGCACAGGAAAGUGGUGAAGGUUCUUAAAACACCUUGGGUUACGUGCCUUCCCCAUGACUAGCAGUGGCAGGCGCUCGGUGCCCGACAUAUUUGAAGCGAGAAGCACAGUGACCCUUUCUUUGCUCCUCUUCCCUCCAACGCACGGGUCGCCCUUGAACGUGAUCGUUUUUUCCGGCAAGGCUUUAAAAAAGAGAGCCGUUUCAUCGGCAUUGAAGACUUUGGCAGGUUCAUAACGAGCCAGGUACUGGGGAAGCUCAGUUGUCUUCAAGUCAGCAAUACGCUGUUCAUGCACUGCUGCUUUUUCCCCGCACACGUUUCGAAAGACCAACCCGUGCCUUUCUCUAAAGCGGGCAAACCAGCCGUCAGACGCACUGAAAGAUUCGAUGUUCAUUCUCAGUGCGUACCUUUCAGCUUGCUGACAGAUCAAAGGUCCACUCAAGGGAAGCUGGCUGUUCCGCAUGUCUGUUAUCCACCGCAGCAGUGCGUCUUCCAGCUUCGGAUGUGCUGCCGUCCUUAGUCGUUUUCGUUUUCCGGUGAAUUUGCCGCUGUCAAACGCCUCGAAAAUUUUUGCUUGGUUCUUCACAUAGAGUCUUAAGGCGCUUCUCUUAACAUCGUACUUUUUUAUUAUCUCUUGUCAAGAAACACCUGCGUUCACGUCUUUCAAUAUCAUCACCUUUCUUUCAAGAUCAUUUGCUGGCUGCUGUGGCCGCUUAACUCCUGUGACGGUCGCCAUCGGUAUGAAGCGCGACGGCGGCGGCAACGCGCACACACACAGCCGCAACACGCGAAGUCACAACACAAAGAACUACGUCAACCAAGUCACGAAGUACACCAGUAGGCGUAGCGAGCAGCUGUUAGUAGACACUGGAUGCGCCGGUGGCCCAAGCGCUUCCGCCGGGUGGUGACUAGCACCACCUAGCCACUUCCCCCUCAUUCACUAUCAUCAUGAUCAUAUUCUGCUGCAGUUCGUUUGGUUUUGGUUUCUCCAAAACUCCGGUUCCGCCGUCGGUUACGGCAAGCGGUGCUUGAGCCUCCAAGCCACCGAGAUCGCGCGACUCUGAAGUCGCGCGGAGUUGUCCGAGAUAACCAGUGCGCGGCUAAAUCCCUCCGAAUUAAUGAGCAUUUGACCCCAUUGAAAUAUACACAGUUUUGCUGGGACCGCGCCGCGAGUCCGAGUUAACCGAAUUUCCGAGUUAACGAGGUCCGUAUAAACGAGCUUUUACUGUACAAAGAAAAGAGUGAAAUGAUAAUUGAAAAAACAAAUAUAUAUAUAUAUAAACUACAGUAAAUAAUUAGUGCUUGAUUUGCUGAACAAUCUACAACUGAAAACACCCUCCAAUAUAUCAAAAACCCUAGUAUGGGCUCUACAUUAGGAUUCCUGCACUUAAAUCUUGGGCAUCAAAUUCAGCAAAUCAAAAAUGAUUGCGUAGCGAUUUGUGGUGUUAAAACAACCUUUGAGGAAAUCUUUGCAUUGUAUGAUUGUUUCAUAUCUGCAAAUAAUGCACAGAGGGAUCUUUUGCCAAAAACAUGUUAUUUCUUUGAUUAUAAACAUGCUUAAUUCUUUUGUUAGCAUAGGGAAAGGACCAUCUUUUCAGGGACCAAGAAAAUUUUUUUGUCUCCAUAGACAAGGCUUUAGCAUAUAAUGAGGUUUUAUAAAUUGUAUGAAACAUUGUUUCCCAUAACCCUCGAGAAAGAAACCUGUAAUGAGUAAUGGGAAAAUGUUCAUGAAGCCAACAUUUUCGUAGCCACAUACGAAAAAAAAAAUAUAAAAAAUUUAUAUAUCAACAAAAAAUGUCAGAAUUCAGAAUAUAUGUUUCAAAGAUAAAUGUGCCAAGAACAGUAAAAUACUGAAAUGUGAUCAAAAUCAUAAAUCAUCAGUGAUCAGCUAGAAUAGGCAUGGCAGCGAAAGAGUUCACUACAGAUUAGAAAUGAUGUGGGUUCAUUCCCACCGCAGCCGGGCACCCACCGGUUUUAAUGGGCACAAGCGUACCUCAGCCUGGCGCUCAGCUUUCCUCAGGGGUGAUACGCUUGGGAGAGGUGCCUUCCCCCUAAAUUCCUGUCGAAACCCUCGUGAGCACAAAAGAAAAAAGGGAGGUUUGGGCCGUUCCCAUGGCAGCCAUUUUUCGCAUGUGGCAUCCCAAUGCAUCUAUGAGGUGGAGACGCCCUCGUGUUGGGGCAAACACUCCUUUUCAAGCAUUGAGGUCCAAUAAUGGCCGAGCACCUAGCCAGGAGUGCACAUGUGCCUAUUUUACCAGUAGGUACCCAGCAGUAGCACUAUUCCGCCUCCCACAGCGGAUGCUCUUCAACAAGGCCGUCCGUGGUUGGACAAAUGGUGACCUGAGACCACCCUACAUGAUCUCUAUAGGCCCCCUUUGAGAUGUGAACCCCCACAAGUAGCCGAGUGCCAUACUGGGGGACAUCUCUACCCAUUAGAAAAACCGGUGGUUUUCUGGCGGCACCAGAAUUUAAACCCAGUACCUCCCGCAUUCGAGGCAGAUGUUCUACCACUAGGCUAACGCUGUGGUGGGCUAGUUGGUACAUGUCUACUAGAAUACUUGGCGACAGCACGAAUAUGUGGGACGAGAUUAGACUGCAGGGGCACAGUCUUGUCUGUGCUCGUGUUGUCUCUCCAAACAUUCAGCGUACAAGGAAGGCAGCCUUGAAAGUUGAAUAAUCUCCAAGAUGUGUUAAGCACACCCCCUACCUCCACACUCCCUGCCCAGUGCGCUUAGCAUGCUUUUCCUCCUAUUUUCAAAUGCACAGGCUAGGAGGUUUCCUUCACACCUCUUGAUUUACACGUUGGGUAGUUGUCAUGAAUUUGUGCCAAAAUUUUGUCUGCCUGUUUUAGGCAAACUGGCACAGCGACCAUGUCAUUGUACGUGGGUGGCACUCCGUAGGCUCCUUGCAGAUUUUUUAGGAAUAAAGAAGACCUGUAUUUUUUUUAAGUAAAAGUUCGCUUAAAGGGGGCUGUUAAAAGUGGCACGUUAUAACGUACCGUCAGUCACUCCUUGAACAUACCAUCUAAUCAACAUUUGGUGAAAUUCGGAAAUUGAGUUAUCAGGAUGAUAGUGACCUGCAAAAAAACUGGGGUAUUUUUGGUAUGCCCUAUUAUGCACAUGUGAACCCCCAAAAUUCUGUACAUGUCAGCGAGGUUCUACUUUUGGUAUGCAGAAGUUGGGAAAUUUAUUGACAAAGAAGUACAUUGGAGUUAGUGACCUGCUUUCAUGAACUACUUAAAUGGAGUUGUGGAGAAAAAUAGUCAUGUACAUGUAUUCAUUUUUAUUUACAUUUGUGUCAUUAAUAUAAUAUUUUUUUGUCAUGUAAGUGGUCUCGUAAAGUUAUCUUGUAAUACAUUUCCAUGGGUCCUAUAGUAUUGUGGAGCACUGGGGUAAUAUUUGGGCUAGUUAUGAUCUGUUACUUUGCUCAUGUUGGCAUCUAGUACACAGGCAUUGACACAUACAGGAGGCCAGUAACUUUCCUACUGGUGGUACCAUGGCACCACUGAAUCUGUUAGAGCAAGCCAGGGUAGCUGUGCAAGCUACAUGUUUGGGGGCAGCAGAAGAGCAAAACACACUGCUUUCUAGUGAAUCAUGGAGAAAGAAUGCACUGCAUUUGUGAAAGCAAUAAAAAGAAAGAAUUACUGACAGGCU
rnacentral:lncRNA from 1 species